GACAGAGGUGCCGAGCGUUAGGCGGAAUCACUGGGCUUAAAGCGUGUGUAGGCGGAUGGGUAAGUACCUUGUGAAAUCCCACGGCUCAACCGUGGAACUGCUCGGUAUACUGCUCGUCUUGAGCCAACUAGGGGCGACCGGAACAAACGGUGGAGCGGUGAAAUGCGUAGAUAUCGGGAGGAACACCUGUGGCGAAAGCGGCGCACUGGACCACAACUGACGCUGAGGCGCGAAAGCUAGGGGAGCAAACAGG
rnacentral:rRNA from 1 species